AUACUAUUUAUCUUGAUUAUUGAGUUUUUUGGUGUUCCUUUAAAUUUUGCACCUGAGGCCAGUGCCUCACUCAAGUCAUUAGCGCCUGCCCUGAUUAUUUCCAACAUGCAAUCCACACCAUAUCAUUAAUUCCUCAUCAAACGCUCUACUAUUACCACUUUACAGUUGCAAAAAGUGAGGCACAACUGUGCCCAAUGUCCCAAAGGAACGAGAAGAAAAAUCUGAAUUUGAACCCCAGCUUCUUCGUUUUUUGGUUCAGAGCCUGCCCAGUAUAGCACUACAAUAAGCUGAAUUUUAUAAGUUGGGUUUUGAGUCAAGGAAUCAAAAUCUUCAGGCUUAAGUCCCAUCUCUGCCCCAGAGUCUUCUGAGUCCUCCAUUUUCACAGACGUCAGUUGCCCUAGGUGGAACUGGACUUUAAUAUUCUCAACAUCCCUUAUUUUUCCCAAAACAGUUUACCAGCUUUUUCUUUCCUGAACCAGGAGUAAUCGCAAAAAUUGGGAAUGCAAAGAAACAGGUACCAGCCCGGACACCUGAACCAACUUGGAGCUCAGGAACCCAGGAGGGGAUUGGAGAGAGUGCGGAGACUCCGUGGUCCACAAUGAAUGCUCCUUCCCCAUCCAAAAAAAAAAAAAAAUCCCCUAGCCCAGUUUUUGGGCAGAUGCCAGACUUUUAUUCUGAAGCGUGGGCCACAACCUAUGAGGUAAUCUUUGGAGCUUCAUUCUGAGGCGGAAUCCCAUUGGCCAGUUGGGGAAGCCCCUCCCAGGAUUCCUGGCGCUCCGCCUUCCCCGAAGCCUAUAAAAGCACAGAUCCCCGCCUCGGCAGCCACGAGACACCUGCAUCUGCCAACAAGACUGGAAGCAGGAACGGACAGAGACGGCGAAGUUUGACGGUCUGGAAAGCAGAGAUCAGCGGGGCUGACUGCUUGGGAGCACCAAGUAUCCGGACAGCGCCUCUCGGGGGUUCCAAGGAGAGAACCGCGAUCUGUUUCAGCACCGGGGCUCAGGACAGUUCCCAGAAGGCUCCGUUUCGGCGCCAGAACCCUGGACAGCUCCCCCAGACUUCAGUGAGGAACCUUGUGCCAAGCAUUGUACAUACAGCAUAUCAUGCCAUCUUCAACCCUAGGACAUGGGUGUUACUGUGCCCAGGUGACAUUUGGGGAACCCAAGGCCCCGAAAAAGGCAGAAAAAUAACCCACGCAGGGACUCUCAGCCCACAAGUGAAGCUGUAAGUCAACCCCAUCCGUCCAACUCUAAAUCCCAUGUCUCUGACGUGCCUGGGUGGGAGUUGGGCCCUUGGAGAUCAGACCCUGCCUCUCUCCAGGAGAACCGGGAAUGGAAAACAGGGAGGCAGCACAGAGGCAGGAAGCCCAGGUGUCACAGCUUGGCUCAGGUGAGAAGGAGGAGCUGGGCAGCGAUCUCAGACAUGGGGCAGGGGGUGGUGAAGAAGAUUAGAGUGGCUAUGGUCUAGUGCUGUGUGGAAGACUAGUGAUUUUGUUGUUCUGAUGUGCUACGACAACAAAUCACAGCCGGCCUCAUAGCGCAGACU
rnacentral:lncRNA from 1 species